CUUACAGAUUGACGCCAUCGUAGCCAGCCCCAAUGCCCACAUGGUCAAUACCAGCCACCUCGCGUAUGUGGUUUAUAUGCGCUGCAAAGUGGAUAGUAGGAAAUGGGUUAAUAACAUAGUUAAUUUUCUUUUAAAUCGGCAAACCUACCCACGACAUCGUGCAGUGUCGCCUGCCCCGAGCAGCUGACAAAGUGCGGAUAGAACGCAACCAUAACCAAGCCGCCGUUAAUGGCCUGUAAACCUGUUUAUUACGUACAAUGCGCUGCAAUACAUGAUCCGGUACAUUGCGGGAGCUAUUACAUAUGGCAUGCGCCGAGGAGUGCGAGAAUAUGAGCGGCGCUCGGGAUGUGGCCAAUGCAUCCAGCAUUGUUGGCACCGACACGUGCGACAGAUCGACAAUCAUGCCCAAGCGAUUCAUUUCCUUCACCACAAGCUGUCAAAAAGAUUUGAUUAAGUGGAAAAAUCAAAAAGAAUAUUUUAACAAUACGAAUUAAUCAUUCCGCUGGGUACCCUUUAAAGUUAAGAUUUAAUAAUAAUAAUAAUAAUAAUUUGACCUGCGCAACUC